CGAAAUGCGAUAAGUAAUGUGAAUUGCAGAAUUCCGUGAAUCAUCGAAUCUUUGAACGCACAUUGCGCCCUCUUGCAUUCCGGGGGGCAUGCCUGUCCGAGCGUCAUUACGCACCCUCAAGCCCGGCUUGUGUGAUGGGCCCCGGCGUCUCGUUCGCGAGACGGGCCCGAAAGGCAGCGGCGGCGUCGACCCGAUGAGCCCGAGCGUAUGGGGACUUCUGUCACACGUUCGCGGUGCGGACCGGCGCCUGCUUGACUUUUCUGAUUAUCCAGGUUGACCUCGGAUCAGGUAGGGAUACCCGCUGAACUUAAGC
rnacentral:misc_RNA from 1 species